CAUUCCCCUUGGACAGAUCCUUCGUCUUUUUACUUACCCUUGCUCUCGGCAGUGGCUUAAACAUUCAACCUCCAAGACUCUCAACGUUUCUCAAAAUUGAAUAUUGUUUACUCCGCCUGGACAACUUUGUUAAAAUCUUAUCUACUUCUUGUUCAAACAAACCUUUAAAUUUUAAUCAAUGGACUUAAAUAUUUUCUUGAAAACAUAAUUAAGAGUAGCUGCAAUAUGAUUGCAAACCCCAGUUUUGGGCUACACCCACCUCAAAUUUCUUCAAGAAAAUCAAACCCUUCAAUUCAUUUCUCAAAUUUCAAUCCUCCCCAAGCAAUUCCCAUAGCCCAUGACCUAAAAAGGAGGUGUGAUGUUUUUGAUUUGCACAAUGAGCUUGUUCCAUAUGCUGAGGCAUGGGCUUGGCAAAAAUCAAUCGUGGAAAAAAGAAAAAAAUUGAUUGAUAAUGAUGAAGAUGUUUGUGAUAGUGUUGUUAUUUUACAGCAUCCCUCUGUUUAUACAUUGGGAACUGGUAGUUCUGAGGAUCACUUGAAGGGGAUCAAGAAUUUUUAUCGGACUGAUCGAGGUGGUGAAGUUACUUAUCAUGGUCCAGGACAGCUAGUCAUGUACCCUAUUCUCAAUCUUCGUUACCACACUAUGGAUCUUCAUUGGUACCUUAGAGCUCUUGAGGAGGUGGUGAUUCGAGUGCUGUCCUCUUGUUUUACUAUAAAGGCUUCAAGGCACAAGGGUCUGACUGGUGUUUGGGUUGAUUUUCUCAGCGAUGAUUGAACAUCAUGACAAGUCCAGUCUACAAUUUAUUUGAUUCAGCCCUGUGACAAUGUGACCGAGGACAGGGAUGUGGUGACAUUGUCUGUGAAUCCUCUACUUGGCACUACAAAUCGUCGUAAGAUCUUGCAUUCCAGUUACAUGGUCGGUUCUUCAAUCAGAACUUCCAGAAAAGAGCUUGUGGUUUAAGUUAUUGAACGGGUCAAUUCAAAGAUCUGCGAGUCUGCCAGCCAUUCAUAAUUUUCAUGGAGUAUAGAUCCAGGUAACAUGUAAAAUUUGUGAAUUUUGGAAGUGUAUUGCUAACAGCUAGGAAGUGUAUUGCUAACAGCUAUGCAAAAUGGACAAGAUUAUAAUCCGAUUAAUAAGAAGGCAAGAAAGCAGCUGGUCCAGAACAACGAAUGAUAGCAUCAUACGUCUAAUGGAAAAAAAAGCGCUCGACAUGAAAACCCUAGAAUGAGGUAAUUUUGCACCGAGUGAUAUUGUAACACCCGGUCUAUACUCUAUAUACAUCAAAAAUAUAGAAUUAAGGUGUGCAACGCUUUUUUUUUUCCAGCUGAACAUAUGCUACUAACAUAUAUAUAUAUUAAGGACAAAUACAAAACAUAAAUAAAAUGAAGAUUUUUAUCACGACAAUUUGAUGCUCGAGUUAUA